rnacentral:rRNA from 1 species
CACGUAGGGGGCGAGCGUUGUCCGGAUUCAUUGGGCGUAAAGGGCGCGCAGGCGGCUCGGAAAGUCGGGUGUGAAAACUCGGGGCUCAACCCCGGGCGUGCAUCCGAUACUGCCGGGCUUGAGGCAGGUAGGGGAGAUCGGAAUUCCUGGUGUAGCGGUGAAAUGCGCAGAUAUCAGGAGGAACACCGGUGGCGAAGGCGGGUCUCUGGACAGUUCCUGACACUGAGACACGAAGGCUAGGGGAGCAAACGGG